GCGACGGAGCCACGUACGGAAAAAAUAGAACAGAUAAAAACUUUGCCAAAAUAUGCUACUGCUUCGUGUCCAUCGUCACCUCCUCCUCCUCCUCCUCCUCCUCCCUUCUCCUUCCUCCUCCUCCUUUCCGUCGAGAUUCCUGUCCUUCUCCAAGCUCCCCUUCCCAGGGUCCAAGCUCCGAUCGGGGGUAAUGGCGGCGGCUGUGGUGGAGUAGUCACCGAAUUGAAGCUCCUUUUCCGCCAGCCGUUCUAGAAGGAGCCCUCAAUCUGUACCUACCUGCUCGACGACGUCGCUAUCCCGAUAAACCCGCUCCGGUUGCUGACUGUUAAACAUGAAAGGACAACUCCAAACUGCACCAGCACUACGUUUUGUCCAUUAUGAUGAUGAAAUGCCGGACUAUUUUAGUAAAAAGAUUUGAGAGAAAGCAAUUCAUGAGAGAGGAUAUGGUGCCGGAUGUAAGGUUCAUAAUUUCCAAACCUAGCAAUUCAAAAGCAUGUCUUUUAAUAGAAGCUGGGGUUAAAAGAUGUUUUGGCAAUCUGUUGCUGGAGGCUUCGUUGAUGGUUUAUCAAUGAUGCAUUUUGUUCAGUUCAUCUGUUUGAGCUACCUCAGGUCGUACUUUGGGCUGUGUUGCAUACGUAACAGGAGAUAGGCCUAGUCACCUCAUCCUAGGAUGGCAUUCUCUGGUGAUGUUGCUUAUAUGUGGCUGUGGAAGUACAGAUUUUCAGGUACAUCUUAUGUUCUCGAUGUGGCAGAAGGGAACUAGUAGAAGGUACUUCUUUUGAUAAUUAGCAGAAACAGAUAGACAAUUUUUAUUUUUAUUUUUUUCCCAGGAAGUUCGCAUCAGCUCUACCAAUCAGUUCAUUCACAGGCAAGUAAAAAAAAGCUGCAUUUUUCUGAUCGUGCUUCUGACAUUCACGAGCAGUAUAUUAAUGUAACUGCUGCUUGUCUCUUUGUAUUCAUAUAUUUACAUUGCCGAUGAUGCUUUGGUGUAUCCUGCUCAUGACUACAAAACUUCACUGCAAGCAACACUAAACCUUCUAGCUACAAGUUCUUCUUCCCUAUGGCUUAGACCAAAUUCUCAUUCAGGUUACUACAGUUGGAGAGGAGAUGCUCUAGAAUCCUUGUCUGACAAAAGAUGAGGAAACAUUCAGGAGUAUUAUGAAAAAUCUGAACUUGCCAGAUCCAAAAAUGAUCAAUGUGGCAAUGCCUGUAAAUAUGGUCUGUGGACUGCAAGAUCAAGCAAUAAAGCCCUAAAAUACCAUGUGAAAGAAGGACCAUGCAAGACUUUGCAGCCGCAUGAAGAAAAGCGCACAUCUAUACAAGCCAAACAAGAAUCUUGCUGUGUGGAACAAUGUAAAUUCCCAUUGUCCUUCAAAUGUUUGGUGGCUAGGCUAUGGCUAACCUAUGAUUGUAAACAUGUCUCUCAAAAGCAGUUGAGAUCUAGGACCAGACUGCUAAGAACCUUUAUUCUCCAUGAUGGAAGAUACGAAGCUCAUCAAGAAAUAUCGACAGCUGGAAUGUGGAGGCUUUGGACUUUUUUUUUGUCUCCAAAUAAAUUAUAGUAGUCUAGAAGCAUUAGAACUUCUGUUACAAUUUUGUGCGCUUUGUUUGACAAAUUAGAACUACUGAAGCAAUUAUUGAAAGGGAAUCAAUUACUAUGAUAAUAUGAAUCGAUACAAUCGAAAUACAAUCUUGCUGUUGUA